CCGGGAGAGGCUCGGGCCGCGGCGGCUGGCGGGGGUCCCGGGCGCCCCAGCCGGGAACGUACCGCUCUGGCGGCGGCGGGCGGAAAGUACAGAUAAAAAUGGGGAAAAGGUGUCAUUCCAGACUGACAGUGCUGCCUAAUGCCACAACAGCCACGCAGAUGGAAGCAUUUCUAUGCGUGAAGGACUGAAUGAAGUAAGAAGUGAUUGCCGUGUGAAGGCAGCAGGAAAAAGAGGAAUUGCUAAGGAAUUGGAAGAAAUAACAAGGUUUCACAACAUGAGGCUGUGA